UGAGGAAUCUUGCGCAAUGGACGAAAGUCUGACGCAGCGAUGCCGCGUGGGGGAUGAAGGCCUUCGGGUCGUAAACCCCUUUUGGUGGGAAAGAAACACCCAGAUGUUAACAGCGUCUGGGUCUGACGGUACCCACAGAAAAAGCCACGGCUAACUCUGUGCCAGCAGCCGCGGUAAGACAGAGGUGGCAAGCGUUGUCCGGAAUUACUGGGCGUAAAGAGCGCGUAGGUGGCUAGAUAAGUCCGGUGUGAAAUCCUUCGGCUUAACCGGGGAAUGGCAUCGGGGACUGUUUAGCUCGAGGACGGGAGAGGAGAGCGGAAUUCCCGGUGUAGCGGUGAAAUGCGUAGAUAUCGGGAAGAACACCAGUGGCGAAGGCGGCCGCCUGGAUGGAUACUGACGCUGAGACGCGAAAGCGUGGGGAGCAAACAGGAUUAGAUACCCGUGUAGUCC
rnacentral:rRNA from 1 species